rnacentral:rRNA from 1 species
CUCGUAGGCGGUUUGUCGCGUCUGCUGUGAAAUCCGGAGGCUCAACCUCCGGCCUGCAGUGGGUACGGGCAGACUAGAGUGCGGGUAGGGGAGAUUGGAAUUCCUGGUGUAGCGGUGGAAUGCGCAGAUAUCAGGAGGAACACCAAUGGCGAAGGCAGAUCUCUGGGCCGUAACUGACGCUGAGGAGCGAAAGCAGUGGGGAGCGAACA